AAUUUUGGACAAUGGGGGAAACCCUGAUCCAGCCAUCCCGCGUGUAUGAUGAAGGCCUNCGGGUUNUNAAGUACUUUUGGCAGAGNCAAAAAGGCAUCCCCUAAUACGGGAUGCUGCUGACGGUAUCUGCAGAAUAAGCACCGGCUAACUACGUGCCAUCAGCCGCGGUAAUACGUAGGGUGCAAGCGUCAAUCGGAAUUACUGGGCGUAAAGCGUGUGUAGGCGGUGAGGAAAGAAAGAUGUGAAAUCCCAUGGUUCAUCCUUGGAACUGCAUUUUUAACUGCCGAGCUAGAGUAUGUCAGAGGGGAGUAGAAUUCCACGUGUAGCAGUGAAAUACGUAGAUAUGUGGAGGAAUACCGAUGGCGAAGGCAGCCCCCUGGGAUAAUACUGACGCUCAGACACGAAAGCGUGGGGAGCAAACAGG
rnacentral:rRNA from 1 species